rnacentral:misc_RNA from 1 species
AAGUCGUAACAAGGUAACCGUAGGUGAACCUGCGGUUGGAUCAUUAAUAAUGAUAGCUCUAUAGUGUAGGCGGAUUGUGUCGCUUAGGCGUCUCGGUAUUCCAUCUAUAGAGUAACCUACACCUGUGCACUAUUAUUGUAUUUGGGCCUGAGCUUGCUUAGGCCCAGUGUUAAGCAUCCUAGGAUGCCUAUAGACAACCUUUAUUUUUUGACUGACUUUUGUUUCUAACGAAUCAAAUACAACUUUUAACAACGGAUCUCUUGGCUCAC